GAAUUCUGGACCCAAACUUCUGGAUAUCAUGAAGUAAGAUCCUCCAGCUGGUACAACGCCAUUAGUCGCGAUGGCACUCAUACUGAUAGCUGUCAGCAUCGUCUAUGUAUACAGAGAAAUAUUUUUUGCUUAGAAUAAUCAAGUUCGACCAUAAAUGACUCAAUUUAUUACACGGUUAAUCACGAGAUUAAUCUUUAAUUCGUGUCGUUAUUAAUCUCUACACCCAUCAAUCAAUAUUGAUUGGAUCAAUUCAUAUCCAUUAUUGAAUUAUUGAAACUUCACUUACCACGCAACAACAACACAACACAAUGAAGAAACCCUGAAAAGCUCCAGCGGUGCCAACGACCCAGGUCAAACGAAUGAAUAGAAUCACACCAAAGAUGUUUUGGAUGCAAGGCAGAAAGACACCGAUCAAAGUACCCAUUCGUGCACCACCUUGCACGGGUGGAGGUUUCGCAUCCGGGUCGGUCGCAGCUGGAAUCGUGUUGCUGUAGUCCGACAGGCUGUUGAGCAGCGUGGAAAUUCGAGGACGAACUUCCAUCUCUUCCUGAAACCAUGAAAAUCGACUUAUUGCACUGUGUUGACGGCCAACAAUCCUUUAUUAAUUAUAUAAUUUAUUAUUACAAUUAUUAUAAUUAUAUAAAUUAAUUAAUUCAUUAUUCUUAGAUAGUAAUAUCAUAAAUAACAAUAAGUGUAAUGAUAUGAUGUGCUCAUAAUCAAAUCCUUUAGAUUUAAUUUUA